rnacentral:tRNA from 1 species
GGGCUUGUAGCUCAGCAGGUAGAGUGCCACCUUCGCAAGGCGGAAGCCCCGGGUUCAAAUCCCGGCAAGUCCA